rnacentral:tRNA from 1 species
AGUAGGAUGGCUGAGAUUAAAAUGAGGUGAUAGAUUGUAAAUCUAUUAAGGGGAUUUAUAUACCCUUCUACUA